rnacentral:rRNA from 1 species
AAUAGAUACCCUGGUAGUCCACGCCGUAAACGAUGAGUGCUAAGUGUUAGGGGGGUUUCCGCCCCUUAGUGCUGCAGCUAACGCAUUAAGCACUCCGCCUGGGGAGUACGACCGCAAGGUUGAAACUCAAAGGAAUUGACGGGGGACCCGCACAAGCGGUGGAGCAUGUGGUUUAAUUCGAAGCAACGCGAAGAACCUUACCAAAUCUUGACAUCCUUUGACAACUCUAGAGAUAGAGCUUUCCCCUUCGGGGGACAAAGUGACAGGUGGUGCAUGGUUGUCGUCAGCUCGUGUCGUGAGAUGUUGGGUUAAGCCCGCAACGAGCGCAACCCUUAAGCUUAGUUGCCAUCAUUAAGUUGGGCACUCUAAGUUGACUGCCGGUGACAAACCGGAGGAAGGUGGGGAUGACGUCAAAUCAUCAUGCCCCUUAUGAUUUGGGCUACACACGUGCUACAAUGGACAAUACAAAGGGCAGCGAAACCGCGAGGUCAAGCAAAUCCCAAUAAAGUUGUUCUCAGUUCGGAUUGUAGUCUGCAACUCGAUA